rnacentral:rRNA from 1 species
AGUUGAUCCUGGCUCAGGACGAACGCUGGCGGCGUGCUUCAUACAUGCAAGUCGAACGAGAAGCUGACUUCGGUCAGUGGAAAGUGGCGGACGGGUGAGUAAUAUGUAGGAAAUCUGCCCUAGAGAGGGGGACAACAGAGGGAAACUUCUGCUAAUACCCCAUAUGAGCUUAGUUGAAAUACUAAUCUUGAAAAACUCCGGUGCUCUGGGAUGAGCCUGCAUCUGAUUAGCUAGUUGGCGGUGUAAUGGACCACCAAGGCUGCGAUCAGUAGCCGGACUGAGAGGUUGAACGGCCACAUUGGGACUGAGAUACGGCCCAGACUCCUACGGGAGGCAGCAGGUGGGGAAUAUUGGGCAAUGGGGCCGCAAGCCUGACCCAGCAACGCCGCGUGAAGGAAGAAGGUCUUUCGGGUUAGUAAACUUUCUUUUAGUGGGGGACGAAAGAACGUGACCGGUACCUCAUGAAUAAGCCACGGCUAACUACGUGCCAGCCGCCGC